UACGUAGGUGGCAAGCGUUGUCCGGAAUUACUGGGCGUAAAGCGUGCGCAGGCGGUUGUGCAAGACCGAUGUGAAAUCCCCGGGCUCAACUUGGGAAUGGCAUUGGUGACUGCACGGCUAGAGUAUGGGAGAGGGAAGCGGAAUUUCUGGUGUAGCAGUGAAAUGCGUAGAUAUCAGAAGGAACAUCAGUGGCCGAAAGGCGGCUUCCCUGGAC
rnacentral:rRNA from 1 species